rnacentral:tRNA from 1 species
GCCCUAGUGGCGCAGUGGUAGCGCAACUGAUUUGUAAUCAGUAGGUCGGGGGUUCAAAUCCUCCCUAGGGCUCCA